AUAGGCCAACUAUCCUAAAAGAUUGCAUAGAGUAUGUAAAAUGAUGUCAAGCAUGCCAAAAGCAUGGCAUGAUAAGACAUGUGUCAGUAACUGAUUUGCAUGCAGUUGUGAAGCCUUGGCCAUUCAGAGGAUGGGCAAUGGAUAUGAUAGAGAAAAUACAUCCUUCCUUUUGGAAGCAACAUUGCUUCAUUCUAGUGGCCACAGACUACUUUACUAAAUGGCUAGAAGCUAAGCUUUAUAAGGCAGCAGAUCAGAUUGAAGUUAUUGGAUUUAUUAAGGAAUUGAUCCAUAGCCCGCGUAUUCUCCCUAUAGUGAGUCGUAUUAG
rnacentral:sRNA from 1 species